rnacentral:tRNA from 1 species
UUGAUUGUAACUUAUAAAAAGAGUUUUAAUGUUAAUAAAAAGAAGGGGAAUGCGCCCCUAAUCAAG